rnacentral:tRNA from 1 species
AACUAAAAAGGUUGGAAUUUCGAAUUCUUUUUUGUUUUUAAAACUUUAGUUG